rnacentral:rRNA from 1 species
GGAUAACUCCGGGAAACCGGGGCUAAUACCGGAUGCUUGUUUGAACCGCAUGGUUCAAACAUAAAAGGUGGCUUCGGCUACCACUUACAGAUGGACCCGCGGCGCAUUAGCUAGUUGGUGAGGUAACGGCUCACCAAGGCAACGAUGCGUAGCCGACCUGAGAGGGUGAUCGGCCACACUGGGACUGAGACACGGCCCAGACUCCUACGGGAGGCAGCAGUAGGGAAUCUUCCGCAAUGGACGAAAGUCUGACGGAGCAACGCCGCGUGAGUGAUGAAGGUUUUCGGAUCGUAAAGCUCUGUUGUUAGGGAAGAACAAGUGCCGUUCAAAUAGGGCGGCACCUUGACGGUACCUAACCAGAAAGCCACGGCUAACUACGUGCCAGCAGCCGCGGUAAUACGUAGGUGGCAAGCGUUGUCCGGAAUUAUUGGGCGUAAAGGGCUCGCAGGCGGUUUCUUAAGUCUGAUGUGAAAGCCCCCGGCUCAACCGGGGAGGGUCAUUGGAAACUGGGGAACUUGAGUGCAGAAGAGGAGAGUGGAAUUCCACGUGUAGCGGUGAAAUGCGUAGAGAUGUGGAGGAACACCAGUGGCGAAGGCGACUCUCUGGUCUGUAACUGACGCUGAGGAGCGAAAGCGUGGGGAGCGAACAGGAUUAGAUACCCUGGUAGUCCACGCCGUAAACGAUGAGUGCUAAGUGUUAGGGGGUUUCCGCCCCUUAGUGCUGCAGCUAACGCAUUAAGCACUCCGCCUGGGGAGUACGGUCGCAAGACUGAAACUCAAAGGAAUUGACGGGGGCCCGCACAAGCGGUGGAGCAUGUGGUUUAAUUCGAAGCAACGCGAAGAACCUUACCAGGUCUUGACAUCCUCUGACACCCCUAGAGAUAGGGCUUCCCCUUCGGGGGCAGAGUGACAGGUGGUGCAUGGUUGUCGUCAGCUCGUGUCGUGAGAUGUUGGGUUAAGUCCCGCAACGAGCGCAACCCUUGAUCUUAGUUGCCAGCAUUCAGUUGGGCACUCUAAGGUGACUGCCGGUGACAAACCGGAGGAAGGUGGGGAUGACGUCAAAUCAUCAUGCCCCUUAUGACCUGGGCUACACACGUGCUACAAUGGACAGAACAAAGGGCAGCGAGACCGCGAGGUUAAGCCAAUCCCACAAAUCUGUUCUCAGUUCG